UUAUUUCCGACGGCGGCGUUGGGCACACCGCGUGACAGGAAACGUCUUACUUUUGCCUUUUACUGCGGUAUCGGGACGGCUUGCAGCUGAUUCCCUUCCAGACACUUCUUCUCAAAAGCAGCGUCCAAUGAGCACAACGUAGUAACUGCAGGACUUUCACGCCUUUACAUUUGUUCUUUUUUUCUUUUCUUUUACGGAUCAGAGUGGAAUACCAGACCACCAGGUGUCUGGUUCCACACACUGUCCAACUCGACAGAGCCGACUGAGGUGAACAAGAAAGGAAGAUCGAUGUUAAAUGACCUCUGCCAAGUUUAACACGAUGCCAUUGUGUCCUCCAUGGAUGCAGAGGCAGCCGUACAUCCCGGCGCAGGAACAGCUGGGGGGCCUCCCUCUGCGGGUCCAGCACAG